rnacentral:lncRNA from 1 species
AUGAAUCUUUCCUCUGUAUUUGAUGUGGUUUGUCUAAAGGUCUCGGACAUGGAGAGGGUGAUGGAGGGUCUCCAGAAUCAUGCAGCAGUGGUGCUCAAACCACAUGCUUUGCAGUCAAGUUCUGCCACUUCUCAUGCCUCAGGACAGCCGAGUUACGAUCAUAUCUGGAAGGAAGUCUAUGCCUUCACUGAGCAUCACCAGGAACUAAGUACUGAGGAUGAUCACACAGCUGUGGCUCACGGUGAGGAGGAUGUAGAAAACACCAGCUCCAGUAAGCCCCCAGGAUCCUACAGAAAGAGGAGCGAAAGAGGGUAUAGUUAUAUGAGCACCUUGCAGCUGCUAGGAUUGGAAGAAGGAACAACAAUUGCCAACAAGGAGCAUGUGGUGACAAGAGGAACCUACCUGUCCUUUCUUCUCCUACGUCACCUGAGGCUCCGAGAGCUAAAGCGAGUAUGCCUGGGGAUCCUGAACUAUUUCAGGUCUGUGGAGAGAAGCCUGACCAUCAGUACCUCAGGCCUCUCAUUCAAGGCUGGUCAUCUAAUUCCCAGCGCAGAAGACACCUCCUGGGUCAAUGCUGCCAAAGGAGGCACUGGUGUUUCUGGUGGUCUGCGCUCUCAACCCUAUAUUCACUACACGCCAGCUGACUACAAGGUGCAUAGCGCUCAGUUCAUGGAGUUUGCAGAGGUGGAAAACCAUGAUGACUUUCACACUCGUGAAGAUGGGUAUAUUCACACACAGGACCAGAGAGGGGCUUACAUCAUAUAUGACGUGGCUUUAGAGGAUCUGAAGGAGCUUGAGAACCAGAUGCUGCUUGUGGCCAGUCAGUACAUUGAGAAAGAUAAAAGUAAGAUAUCACAAGUGUUUUGGACCUGUAGCUAA